GUGCUUGCUUCGGCACCACAUAUACUAUUAUAAAACUGGAAUGUUACAGAGAAGACUGGCAUGGUCCCUGCACAAGGAUGACACACAAAUUCAUGAAGCAUUCCAUAUUAAA
ensembl:snRNA U6 U6 spliceosomal RNA